AAUUAUCUUAUGUUCACACCAGUUCUGAGGAGGAGAAUGAAGAUGUUGAGACUUCUUUGACGAAAUCUUUACCACGAUCAGUGACUCAGAGAAACAGAAGAAGUGCUGGUCUCGGGCAAGAAGCUGUUACUAAAACAAAGGAUGGCAAGGACAAGAAUGAAGACCUUAGUAAUGAAACAAAGAGUCUGAAAGAGUCUAGGGUGUGCUCCCCAAUCAAGGACAAGAGUAAAAAAAAACUAAGAGGAGGGACUGACUUGUCUGAUAAAGAGCUAAGUGGCCGUGAACAUCAUUAUUACCUGGAUGCAACAGAAGAAGGGAAUGUAGCAAGAUUUUUUAAUCAAAGUUCUUCUCCAAACCUCUUUGUACAAAAUGUUUUCAUAGACUCACAUAACAGAAAUUUUCCUCUUGUUGCUUUCUUCACUAGCAGGCAUGUCAAAGCAGGAACAGAACUAACGUGGAAUUGUGAUAGAAUGGAAGAUAUGUAACACAGAAGAAUAUGAAACACAGAUGAAUAUGAAAUUGAGAAUUCUUGAGAGACCGGACUGUUUGCAGGAAAAAAAAAAGAGUUAAAUGAAAAUUUUGACUACUGUAGUUAGCUUGUUGGUAUAUUGUGAGAAGCAAAUACUUGAGUAUAUAGUACACACUCUGUAAAAUAAUGUGGUUCCCUAAAAAGAUCUUACUAGAGCAUAGUCUUUUCAAAAAUGUGGGAUAACCAUGACUAUAUGGAUGUAAAUACCAGGGUUCCUUUUAUUUAUUUUUAUAUUUUGAAUGUUAUUUUAUGCUCUUUUUGCUAAACAUUUUAUACUGUUUCUGCAGAAAGUAAGUUGUUUAGUUCUAGAACCAAAGAACAAAUAAUUCUAAAAAAGAUAACGUGCUAUAAGGUACUGGGAUCUAACCUCAUAAACUAAGCUUUUCUUAUAGUGUACUAAACUACUAAUGUGUGUAGUUACAUUCCUCUUGAAAACUCAGAUCAGUGUGAACUGUAAUAUAAAACCACUUAUUUAUACAUUUGUAAAAACAUUAAUAUGCAAUACAGAUGAAUAUGUGCAUCCUUA